CUACGGGGCGCAGCAGUGAGGAAUAUUGCGCAAUGGACGAAAGUCUGACGCAGCAACGCCGCGUGGGGGAUGAAGCACUAUGGUGUGUAAACCCCUGUAGUUAGGGAAGAACGGCACAGGUUCGUAAGGGUUUGUGUAUGACGGUACCUAAAAAGUAAGCUCCGGCUAACUCCGUGCCAGCAGCCGCGGUAAUACGGGGGGAGCGAGCGUUGUCCGGAAUUACUGGGCGUAAAGGGCGUGUAGGUGGCCUUAUAAGUCAGAUGUGAAAGCUCCCGGCUUAACCGGGAAACUGCAUUUGAAACUGUUGGGCUUGAGUGCGAGAGAGGGUAGUGGAAUUCCCAGUGUAGCGGUGAAAUGCGUAGAUAUUGGGAAGAACACCAGUAGCGAAGGCGGCUACCUGGCUCGUAACUGACGCUAAUGCGCGAAAGCGUGGGGAUCAAACAGGAUUAGAUACCCCCGUAGUC
rnacentral:rRNA from 1 species